ACGGAAGGCAGCAGUAGGGAAUCUUCCACAAUGGGCGAAAGCCUGAUGGAGCAACGCCGCGUGAGUGAAGAAGGAUUUCGGUUCGUAAAACUCUGUUGCAAGGGAAGAACAAGUAGCGUAGUAACUGGCGCUACCUUGACGGUACCUUGUUAGAAAGCCACGGCUAACUACGUGCCAGCAGCCGCGGUAAUACGUAGGUGUCAAGCGUUGUCCGGAAUUAUUGGGCGUAAAGCGCGCGCAGGUGGUUUCUUAAGUCUGAUGUGAAAGCCCACGGCUCAACCGUGGAGGGUCAUUGGAAACUGGGAAACUUGAGUGCAGAAGAGGAUAGUGGAAUUCCAAGUGUAGCGGUGAAAUGCGUAGAGAUUUGGAGGAACACCAGUGGCGAAGGCGACCAUCUGGUCUGUAACUGACACUGAGGCGCGAAAGCGUGGGGAGCAAACAGGAUUAGAUACCCUGGUA
rnacentral:rRNA from 1 species